UAAGACAUAGUUCCCACCUGACUUUCCCAGGCGCCCCUCUCCUCUCUCUUCAGGCAUCCGCAUCCGGAAGUAUCUUAUGAUGUUCCACUCCGCCCCUAGGCGGGGCCAACAUCUGAAACCCGAAUUCCCAGCGCCUCUCCUUCCAGCUAGCCUAAAGCCCCCUGGCCCUCCGGGAAAAUCCAUGCUUCAUUGGGGUCAUGCGGCAUCGUUUACCACAAAGGACACAGUGGGGUCCAACUGGAUCCAGCGCCGAGAUCCGAGCUGUCAGGCCUUUCCCACUGACGCGAGGCCUCCCCCAAAUUGACUAUAACCCCCUGGCCCUCCGGGGAAAUGGAAACGUCCUUGGGGUCAUCGUUUACCACAAAAGACACAGUGGGGUCCAAUUGGACCCAGCGUGAGAUCUGAGCUGUCAGGCCUUUCCCGCUGACAGGAGGCUUCACCCAGGACUGAAGAGCAGCAGCACUUAAAAGGAGUAGAGAGAAGCAAGACCCUAAUUGGAGGCAAAUCAAGUGAGAAGACAGAGAGAUUGAUGUCCUGGCUCACCUCUAAGGGAUCUCAGCAGUUCGCUAUCCAUUAAUUGCCCCAUGUUCGGGGUUCUUGGGUCAAGAAGAGGGCCCAGUGGCCUCAGAGAAGCAGGUUGAAUAGCACACAGAGAGAAAGGGCCACUGUGAUCCUGGAUCAUCGCUGGGUGCUGGUAUUAUGUUUUCUGCAGACACAACAUCUUUAUUUAUAUGUGGUGCUGAGGAUGGAACCUGGGCCGCACACAUGCCAGGCGAGCGCGCUACCACUUGAGCCACAUCCCCAGCCCUGCCUUCUUCUUCUUUGUCUCAAACUAGUACUCAAUAAUCAGGAAGUUUUUAUUUUCUCCACAAUAGGCUACCCCUGACAGGGUGGCCACCCCUGCUUUUCUUUUCCUUGUCUGGAUGUUGGACUGCAGGUUCCCUGCUGCUCUGAUAACCCUAGGACAGGGCUAACACUGGUUAACCUUGCUCCUGCUGUAAGCCCAGGGAUCAAGGAGUCAAAUGCCCUGAAGUAGUUUUGUCUCAUGGUUGUUAAACAUGGCAGCCACCAAGGCCUGGCCUUUAUCACUUCCUGAGCCUGAUAGGCCUUGGUCACCCCACAGUCCUUGGGGAGCAGGCCUACCUCUGUGGCUUCUAUACUGACUCUGAGGUAAGUGGUGUAGAAGCAAGAGCCUGUCCCAGAAUUCUCUGAAUGCCCCAAUCUACCUUUGCUUAUAUUAGAGGCUUUCCCCACUGAACACUUGAGGAGGAGGUGGAAGCAACAUGCUAAAAGCUUCCAUUUGAUGGCAGUGUUGCUCUAGAAAUGCCAGUCACCCUUGUUUUCACGCCUUUCCCUCUGCUCUUUGUAGCUGAAAAACAUGCCAAUGCAGAUCCAAAAGAAAACCUAGUCUUGGUACAGAGUAGAGGACACAGAAACCAAUCCACAAAACUACAACUACCUUAUAUUUGAUAAAGGGGCUAAAAGCAUGCAAUGGAGGAAGGAUAGCAUCUUCAACAAAUGGUGCUGGGAAAACUGGAAAUCCAUAUGCAACAAAAUGAAACUGAAUCCCUUUCUCUCGCCAUGCACAAAAGUGAAUUCAAAAUGGAUCAAGGAGCUUGAUAUCAAAUCAGAGACACGCCGUCUGAUAGAAGAAAAAGUUGGCUACGAUCUACAUACUGUGGGGUCGGGCUCCAAAUUCCUCAAUAGGACACCCAUAGCACAAAAGUUAAUAACUAGAAUCAACAAAUGGGACUUACUCAAACUAAAAAGUUUUUUCUCAGCAAAAGAAACAAUAAGAGAGGUAAAUAGAGAGCCUACAUCUUGGGUACAAAUCUUUACUCCUCACACUUCAGAUAGAGCCCUAAUAUCCAGAGUAUACAAAGAACUCCAAAAAUUAGACAAUAAGAGAACAAACAACCCAAUCAACAAAUGGGCCAAGGACCUGAACAGACACUUCUCAGAGGAGGACAUACAGUCAAUCAACAAGUACAUGAAAAAAUGCUCACCAUCUCUAGCUGUCAGAGAAAUGCAAAUCAAAACCACCCUAAGAUACCAUCUCACUCCAGUAAGAUUGGCAGCCAUUAGGAAGUCAAACAACAACAAGUGCUGGUGAGGAUGUGGGGGAAAAGGGUACACUUGUACAUUGCUGGUGGGACUGCAAAUUGGUGCAGCCAAUUUGGAAAGCAGUAUGGAGAUUUCUUGGAAAGCUGGGAAUGGAGCCACCAUUUGACCCAGCUAUUCCCCUUCUUGGUCUAUUCCCUAAAGACCUAAAAAG